rnacentral:rRNA from 1 species
AUUGAACGCUGGCGGCAGGCUUAACACAUGCAAGUCGAGCGGAGAUGAGGUGCUUGCACCUUAUCUUAGCGGCGGACGGGUGAGUAAUGCUUAGGAAUCUGCCUAUUAGUGGGGGACAACAUUCCGAAAGGAAUGCUAAUACCGCAUACACCCUACGGGGGAAAGCAGGGGAUCUUCGGACCUUGCGCUAAUAGAUGAGCCUAAGUCGGAUUAGCUAGUUGGUGGGGUAAAGGCCUACCAAGGCGACGAUCUGUAGCGGGUCUGAGAGGAUGAUCCGCCACACUUGGACUGAGCCACGGCCCAGACUCCUACGGGAGGCAGCAGUGGGGAAUAUUGGACAAUGGGCGGAAGCCUGAUCCAGCCAUGCCGCGUGUGUGAAGAAGGCCUUUUGGUUGUAAAGCACUUUAAGCGAGGAGGAGGCUACCUGGAUUAAUACUCUAGGAUAGUGGACGUUACUCGCAGAAUAAGCACCGGCUAACUCUGUGCCAGCCGCCGCCGUAACAC